ACGCAUGAUGGUAUAUGCAUUAUAAACAGGCCUGCUUUUCCUAGAGAAGACAAUACUAGUAACCAGGGCGAUGUUUAUGCUACAGUAACUAGUCCUUUAAGGCGUUGCAUACGUCGUGUUAUUCACAAGAACUAAGCCAUCUCUCAAACGGACCAUUAAAGUGGGUAAACGGGGAAAAACCCAGAACUUGGAAUCUGCGUGGUGGAAACAGUAACUGCGUAUGCAAUGGAUAUGACUUGCCUGUUCGGUGAAGGGUUGCCGUGUGAAAAACGCUCAUGUAGAUUUACGUAAACAUACACAGAAGUGCACUGGUAGUAAUCGACAAUCUCGUGAUAUAUGUGAAUAUAUAUGAUCCGGCAAAAGAAAAAAGGUAAAAGAUUGCAAUUGUCCAACCUUUUUAUUCCCCUUUUCGAGUAAAAAUUGCGCGUUUGAAAGAAGUGAAUAAUGCGAACAGUUUAAAAACAAUUUGUAACUACCGACCAAUUGUAACUACAAGGACCAUAUGCCAAUAUUCGGAGGUCGGACUGCUGCAUGUAUUUAGCCUCCAUGUGUAUACUAUACUCUGUCCCGAGCUUCCUUCGAUAAUCAUAAAUGUACCUUUGUGCUCAAACUACGUUUAUCCACUAAUAUGAAUCAAAGUACUGGAAAGCGCUAAGCCAGCCUCAAAGCUACUUUUUUUUUUCAAAUCAUUGUUAAUUGUUAAUAUUUUUAAAUCAUAAUUAUACAGAAAGAAAAAACAGUUUCACAAAAAUGUAUCAUAUGUAUGAGAUCCUGACCAUACCAUUUCAAUCAAUUUGAAGAGAGGAGUUUUUAAUUUACAUGUAUGUUAACUGAUUAGACAGCCCACGGACUUACUAAUUAAGUUGGGAUGAAAAUUCGAUUGCGCUUGUGUACAUUGGAAUUCUGGGAAGGAAUUAGACAGUCCUCGUUCAAUUUAAGAAAUUCGGAGUUAUGGAACUGGCUGUCCUUGGGUUCCGGAGUCCGCAUAUGUACAUUUCUCGAAUUUGAGAGGAUAUGUGGUUUAAAAUUCAUAGAGCGAUCUUUACAAUUUUGAAAGUCUAAUUAUAAAUAACUUAAGUUGGUGCACAGUCAUACACUGUAACGCUGCAUGGCUGUCUCCUACCUUACAGUUAUAAAAGUAAAGCGUGCAAACUCAAUGU
rnacentral:misc_RNA from 1 species